GCACAUUAUAACAAAUGAUGUUUUGCACUGGUUUACUGGUUACGUCACACAAAGAUGAAGACUUGACAUGGUGCACAAGCUAGAGACACAACAGAUAAAAUAGAUUCUCAUAAGGUGAAACCAAGCAUCAUCUGCCUUACUUGAUUUUCAAAUCUGAUUUCUGCAUUAUUUUAUUUUCGAAUUGGAUAGACUAUAAUAUUUAUUACACAGAAUCUUCAAAUAGAACUACAUUAUUGGUACAAUAAAUUUCUAAUUACAGAACUAAUAUAUUACUUCAUCAAUUAGGAUAAAUAAGACCCACUUUGCUCAUCUUCAAACUGCAGACAUUCCAACUCUCCAGAUUUGAAAAUCAGCAGCAUAUGCAAUUUUGAAUGAAGGGGAAAAAAUGCAUCCAAAGAUGCUAAAAAAGGCCACAUAGAAUUAAGGACACCUGAUGGACCUGCUGAUGAUAUUCUUGAUCUUUUGCCUUUAACUGGUGAAAUCCCAGUGGCUGCCUCAUCUGGUAGUUUGAAUAGACUAUUACACUGGUGUACAGAAAUCAUCAAGAUUUCCCAACACCAAAUAAUGAGUCUUCCCAACAUAUAGUCGCUUUUAUAGGUUCUGAGACAUCAGUAUCUUAAAUAAACACUAACGGAUACCAUUCAACAUAAUACUAGAUAUCAAGAAAUAUUAAAUAUCAAGAACUUGACAACUGACAAGUUCAGCAGAUCCAAUAUUUCUAUUGGCAACGACCUUCCAGACAACUGUUUCUGAUUCAGCCAGUGAGGAAAAAUGCUCAUGUGAGGAGCCAACAAAAUGAGAAGCUGAGCUCAAUGGUGAAGAGUCCAAAUUAUCACGAAGGCUAGCCUGCAUAACUACAACUUUAUGAUUGGAAUCUUUUGUGAUGACAUGAAUCUUUCCAUGAAAACCAGCAAGCAGAUGUGGAGUUUCUGAAUCUGCAGAAUCAUAAAAAGGAACUUUUCCUAUAACAACUUUCCAAGCAUCUUCUCUGUGAUCAUACACCUUGAUCUUACCACUGUCUCGAGAACUAGAGGGAUCAUAUGAAUAUAGUUCACCUUCUACCACAAUGCUCAACUUUGUACCUGCCUGACGUGCAGGCCAACCUUCUCCCAUGCCAGUUGGCAUUUCAGCCCACGAAUUGGUUUCAGGAUCAUAAAUUUCUCCCCCAGCAUCAACAAAGAAGGGCCAUGAGUAUAGACUUUGAGGCACACAUAAUCUUCCCAUGUAUGAAGUCAUCCCAGUGGCAAUAGGCUUUAGCAAGUCUGACCAAAAGGCAUUGGGGAACUGUUGAGAUUUUGAGAAUGGCAUGCUUGGAACUUCAGACCAUGUAUCUGUGUGAGGAUCAAAAACUUCAGCAGAUUGCAGAGGAACUAAUCCCCCUCGAAACUGAGUAACCCCUCCAACAACAUAUAGCUUGUUGUUCAAAAUGCUAGUCUUGCAAUAAGCCCUCCCUGUAGACAUGGGAGUGAUCUCACUCCAUCUAUUUAGGAUUGGAUCAUAUCGCCAGACACAACUCACGGUUGAAGCUCUAAAAAAUCCUCCAAGAACAUAGAGGCAGCCAUCAACAGCACCAAUGGCACAACCGCAAAAUGGCAUAUGAUCCGAUGUAUGGUUUUUCCCUAGCCAACUCCUUAUAAUUUCAUGAAUUUUAAUGCGUGGCCCCACAAUGUUCCACAACCAAAGCCCAGAAGAGCCAUUCCUAGAUUCUUCUGAUAAAAGAUUGGGCAUUGGAGGCAACCUCUGCCAUUUUCUUGACAAAGGAUCCAAAGCAUGCCAUGAAAGUUCCUCUUCAACUUUAGUCAAUACAUACAACCACUCUUCUUUCAAUCCAAGUUCUUUUCUCAAUUUAAACAGCUCAUGGCUCAUAAUAGUUUCCUUCCACUUUUGUGACACCAACCUUAGAUUGAAGUAGUAAGUCCUGGGAAUUCUAGCAAGAAUCUGGAUUGACAACUCAUCUGGAAGACUUGGAAUCAGUCUUGGGCGCUUCUCAUCAAAGCUCAAGGAUCUCUUUUGCCUCUUGCAGCUGGUAUCACAUAAGACCUCAUGAAACUGGCUGGUGGUACUCUUGUUACUUGCCAAACUCAAAAUAGCCCCCAUCAAUAAAAACUCCCUGGUUUGCAAUUCCAAAUAUGAACCUGGAAAAUGCUGGAUAAAGCUAAGAAAAGAAGAAUCAGAAGAGUUGAGUAAGCAACGGGAUGAAUUAAAGCAUCUCUGAUAGAAUACAGGUACGCAGAUUUAGAUUUUGUUCCAUUCCAUUUCCAAAAUAUCUUUCAAAAAGUAGAUUUUACAUAUACAGCGUACGCACCAGUGCGUCCCAACUGCCUUUUUUUUUUUU
rnacentral:misc_RNA from 1 species